AUUAACGGUAGUUUCGCGGUACUGCUGUGUCGAGGGCUAACGUUACUAACGGUAGUUUCGCGGUACUGCUGUGUCGAGGGCUAACUGUAGUUUCGCGGUACUGCUGUGUCGAGGGUUAACGUUAAUUUCGCGGAACUGCUGUCUCGCUGUCUUGCAUUUCACCGGCGUAUGGUUUAAUUGGCUGACUUUUAUCGCAGGCAUAUGCUAAACUGCGACAGGGACUAAAGAGGAAAAAGCGAGUGCCUAAUUGAUACCAAAACGUUUCUGCAAGAUAUCACCAUGCUGCUGAAGGUGAGAUACCAGAGUACCAAGAAGUACAUCCGAUUACAGCUAGGUUUCACCUAUUUGGAAUUCAUCACUGCAGUCAAAAACAAAUUUGGACUCCAUGAUGCAGCUGAACUUCACAUAUUUGAUGAAACUGACACUGCAGUGGAGGAAGACAUUCUUCUUGAACUGAUAAGAGUCCAAUCCAGACCUUUGCCUGAUCGUGCGUGACAGCAUUUCAGAUAAAGAUCAUUCAACACCAUCUUCUCUCACGGAUACAUGACGCUUUCUUCAAGUGACAAUGACCUCUCCGGUCAAAGACAAAGGGGGAUUUUGAGCUCUGAGGUCAUGGACAGGUCUA